AGAACGAACGCUGGCGGCAGGCCUCAAACAUGCAAGUCUAGGGGAUGUAGCAAUACAUCACCGGCGGACGGGUGCGUAACACGUGGGAAUAUACCUUUCGGUACGGAACAACUGCGGGAAACUGCAGCUAAUACCGUAUACGUCCUUACGGAGAAAGAUUUAUCGCCGAAGGAUUAGCCCGCGUUCGAUUAGCUAGUUGGUGAGGUAAUGGCUCACCAAGGCGACGAUCGAUAGCUGUUCUGAGAGGAAGAUCAGCCACACUGGGACUGAGACACGGCCCAGACUCCUACGGGAGGCAGCAGUUGGGAAUCUUGGACAAUGGGGGAAACCCUGAUCCAGCCAUGCCGCGUGAGUGAUGAAGGCCUUCGGGUUGUAAAGCUCUUUUACCCGGGAAGAUAAUGACUGUACCGGGAGAAUAAGCUCCGGCUAACUUCGCGCCAGCAGCCGC
rnacentral:rRNA from 1 species